rnacentral:rRNA from 1 species
CUUGGUCAUUUAGAGGAAGUAAAAGUCGUAACAAGGUUUCCGUAGGUGAACCUGCGGAAGGAUCAUUAUUGAAUAAACCUGAUGUGGUUGUAGCUGGCCCUUUCGGGGGUAUGUGCACGCCCGUCAUCUUUAUCUUUUCACCUGUGCACUUUUUGUAGACCUGGAUGUAACAAUUUCCGAGGCAACUCGGUCGGGAGGAAUGCUGUCGGCUUUCCUUGCAUGUCCAGGCCUAUGUUUUCACAUACCCCAAAGAAUGUAACAGAAUGUAUCAUUGGGCCUUGUGCCUAUAAACUAUAUACAACUUUCAGCAACGGAUCUCUUGGCUCUCGCAUCGAUGAAGAACGCAGCGAAAUGCGAUAAGUAAUGUGAAUUGCAGAAUUCAGUGAAUCAUCGAAUCUUUGAACGCACCUUGCGCUCCUUGGUAUUCCGAGGAGCAUGCCUGUUUGAGUGUCAUUAAAUUCUCAACCUUACCAGCUUUUGUUGGUAAUGGCUUGGAUGUGGGGGUCUUUUGCUGGCUUCGUGAAGAGGUCUGCUCCCCUUAAAUGCAUUAGCCGGUGCCCUGCGUGGAUCCGUCUAUUGGUGUGAUAAUUAUCUACGCCGUGGACGUCUGCUUUAAAUGGGAUGCACUGCUUCUAACCGUCCGUUCAGUUGGACAAUCAAUGACAAUUUGACCUCAAAUCAGGUAGGACUACCCGCUGAACUUAAGCAUAUCAAUAAGCGGAGGAA